rnacentral:other from 1 species
AACCCCCUGAGAUUUCACGUUAAAAAGUCUUUUUUUUACCAACACAUCUUAAACGGGAUAUUUACUCCGAUUGUGGCGUAUAAGCCUCCUUUCCUUCGGGAAUGUCAGUGGACAUAUAAAGCAAUUGGGAAAUAACCCACCUGCUGAAGCAGGUAGAAACUCGACUUUUCAAUGACGGCUAUCUCGGGGUAUUU